rnacentral:lncRNA from 1 species
CCCGUUGUAAGGGAUAAGUAUUAAGAACUCAGAAUGAAAAAAACGCCUGUUUGUCUGGAGCACUGGGACACAGGAAAAGUGAGCGCUGCUCCUCGGAGGCCCCUGGGCAGUUCAGGGGACCCCCGGUGCCUGCUGAAGGCAGCAGAGACCGGGAAGCAGGGAAGAGAAGAGCUGGAAGCGGACAAGCCAGCAUGCCCCUAGUCUCCCAGCCACCUUGGCGGCCUCCCUCAGUGUGG